rnacentral:rRNA from 1 species
CCUACGGGAGGCAGCAGUGAGGAAUAUUGGUCAAUGGGCGCAAGCCUGAACCAGCGACGCCGCGUGCGGGAUGAAGGGGCUUUGCCUCGUAAACCGCUGUCGGAUGGGACGAAAGGUGGCCUUAAGCCACUGGGACGGUACCAUCAAAGGAAGGAUCGGCUAACUACGUGCCAGCAGCCGCGGUAAUACGUAGGAUCCGAGCGUUGUCCGGAGUUACUGGGUGUAAAGGGUGCGUAGGCUGUUCUGUGCGUCAGAGGUGAAAUCCACGGGCUUAACUCGUGGGGUGCCUUUGAUACGGCAGGGCUUGAGUACGAGAGAGGUGCGUGGAAUUCCUGGUGUAGCAGUGAAAUGCGUAGAUAUCAGGAGGAACACCGGUGGCGAAGGCGGCGCACUGGCUCGUAACUGACGCUGAGGCACGAAAGCGUGGGGAUCAAACAGGAUUAGAUACCCUGGUAGUCCACGCCUUAAACGAUGCAUGCUUGGUGUUGGUCUCGCAAGAGAUCAGUGCCGUAGUUAACAUGAUAAGCAUGCCACCUGGGGAGUACGAUCGCAAGGUUGAAACUCAAAGGAAUUGACGG